CCCUUAGAUGUUCUGGGCCGCACGCGCGCUACACUGAUGCGUUCAUCGAGUUUACGCCCUGGCCCGGCAGGGUUGGGUAAUCUUUUGAAAGUGCAUCGUGAUAGGGAUAGACUAUUGCAAUUAUUGGUCUUCAACGAGGAAUUCCUAGUAGACGUAGUUCAUCAGACUGCAUCGAUUACGUCCCUGCCCUUUGUACACACCGCCCGUCGCUCCUACCGAUUGAAUGCUCAGGUGAGCCAUUCGGACUUUCAUCAUGCUGGUUUCCAGUUUUGAUGAAGGAAGGUCUUGCGAACCUUAUCAUUUAGAGGAAGGAGGAGUCGUAACA
rnacentral:rRNA from 1 species